rfam:Ovis aries breed Texel chromosome 3, whole genome shotgun sequence.
UCCCUGGUGGCUCAAACAGUAAAGAAACUGCCUGCAAUGCAGGAGACCCAGGUUCAAUCCCUGGGUCGGGAA